rnacentral:rRNA from 1 species
CACGUAGGGCGCGAGCGUUGUCCGGAAUUAUUGGGCGUAAAGAGCUCGUAGGCGGCCUGUUGCGUCCGCUGUGAAAGCCCGGGGCUUAACCCCGGGUCGGCAGUGGAUACGGGCAGGCUAGAGGUAGGUAGGGGAGAAUGGAAUUCCCGGUGUAGCGGUGAAAUGCGCAGAUAUCGGGAGGAACACCGAUGGCGAAGGCAGGUCUCUGGGCCGAUACUGACGCUGAGGAGCGAAAGCGUGGGGAGCGAACAGG